UCCGUAGGUGAACCUGCGGAAGGAUCAUUAUCGAGUUCUGACUGGGUUGUAGCUGGCCUUCCGAGGCACGUGCACGCCCUGCUCAUCCACUCUACACCUGUGCACUUACUGUGGGUUCCAGAUCUGCGAAGCGUGCUCCUUGCGGGGCUUCGUGAAGCGCGUCUGUGCCUGCGUUUAUCACAAACUCUAUAAAGUAUUAGAAUGUGUAUUGCGAUGUAACGCAUCUAUAUACAACUUUCAGCAACGGAUCUCUUGGCUCUCGCAUCGAUGAAGAACGCAGCGAAAUGCGAUAAGUAAUGUGAAUUGCAGAAUUCAGUGAAUCAUCGAAUCUUUGAACGCACCUUGCGCUCCUUGGUAUUCCGAGGAGCAUGCCUGUUUGAGUGUCAUGAAAUCUUCAACCUACAAGCUUUUGCGGUUUGUAGGCUUGGACUUGGAGGCUUGUCGGCCCUCUGUCGGUCGGCUCCUCUUAAAUGCAUUAGCUUGAUUCCUUGCGGAUCGGCUCUCGGUGUGAUAAUGUCUACGCCGCGACCGUGAAGCGUUUGGCGAGCUUCUAACCGUCUUCGCUUGAAGACAGCUUUAUGACCUCUGACCUCAAAUCAGGUAGGACUACCCGCUGAACUUAAGCAUAUCAAUAAGCGGAGGA
rnacentral:rRNA from 1 species